rnacentral:rRNA from 1 species
CAGCAGCCGCGGGAAUACAGAGGGUGCGAGCGUUAAUCGGAUUUACUGGGCGUAAAGCGUGCGUAGGCGGCUUCUUAAGUCGGAUGUGAAAUCCCUGAGCUUAACUUAGGAAUUGCAUUCGAUACUGGGAAGCUAGAGUAUGGGAGAGGAUGGUAGAAUUCCAGGUGUAGCGGUGAAAUGCGUAGAGAUAUGGAGGAAUACCGAUGGCGAAGGCAGCCAUCUGGCCUAAUACUGACGCUGAGGUACGAAAGCAUGGGGAGCAAACAGGAUUAGAGACCCCCGUAGUCCCUGUCUCUUAUAC